rnacentral:lncRNA from 1 species
AUUAAUACAAUUUAUUAUCACAAUCCUCAAAACACCCCAUAAUAUCUUCAAUGAGCUGAAUUUUUCAAGCCCAGAAUGGUUUCUGUAGCUCAAAGUUUGUGGGUGGAGAUAGGUGGUGAAGCAGACACAUAUUAACUGUGUGUACAAGCAGCUGAACUGCAAGGUGGACCUCAAAAAGCAACAAGUACAAGAAUGUGUGUGUGUGUGUGUCUCGUUAAUGACUGCAUCCUAAACAGCUGUGAGAUCAAAGGCAAAUCACUAACCUACUGUUUGACUGAGAGGUGCUGAACUGCAGUGAAUUUCAGCCUGUGAACUUCUUCACAUAGCGUGAUUUCCUUAAGUCCCAGAAUGAAAAUAAGAACAUCGUACGAAUCCUCCGUCCUUCAUGAACACAAUGAUGUGUUUUUCAUGUCUGUACUUCGAAAAAUGUGGCCACAACAGCGAGUUAAAAAAGUCUGAGCCUCAGUGGCGAUAAGGAUUUUCUUGGAGAAAAAAGACAUUAGGGCCAAUGGGGACAGUUUUCCGCCUAUUUGGACAGUUGGUCACCUGCUGGCCAAGGGGUAGGAUUUAAUGAUUUGAAACCUCUUUUGUGAGAAGCAGGACACAUAUACCUCCAUUUUGAUGUAUUUUUUAUGGCUGUGGAGUGAGAUUUGUGGGCGUGGGAGCGAUAUAUUCGAGCGAGGUUCUGUCGAUCAGAGACGAGGUCUGCACUCUAGCUUUUCAAAUCAUCACUCUAGCCUCUCCAAUACACCCCUAUUAUAAAGCCUGAAAUCUGCUGAAAACCACAAGUUACAUAAAGCUAAAUUGUGGAAAAACUGUAAAAGAUAGCACAAAAAGGUUAAUACAACAUCAAUAGUCGACAAGACAAUGAACAUUUUAAAGCAAAAAUGAGGUCUCUAGGUGAAAGUAUGCUGAAGUUAUAAGGUGUAGAAGGUGGACGAAUAACAGGAAGAAUUGAAAGAUUUCCCCAUUCAUUUCUAUGGGGAAAAAAGUUUGGCACAAAAAGUGAAAAAUAAUAAAAAGUAUAAAGGGUAGAAAAGAGAAAAGUAAUAGCCAUCAUGUCCUGAUGGAGCGGAAUAGUUUAAAGUUUGAACGGUUGAAAUCGGACAAAGUUUGAAGGAGGAGAAGCGGUCCAAAGAAACGUAUGGGGAGAGUGUUAAGUAUAAUACUAGAAAAAUUGCAUUUCCUUGCAGAAAAUGCGUGGAAAUGCUGAGUGCUGAAAGCUGAAAAAGCAAUGCUAAACUGCUAAUAAAACAUGGAGAAAGGUAUAAAUGUUAAAGCUGUUGAAGGAAUGAAAAAGAAAAAUAAGUUGGAUAACUACUUAAUUGGUUGAAGGACAAAUAGUAUGAAUAUGCUCUAUAAAAGGAAAUUUUAUUCAUGCUGAAAGAGGCUAGAAAAAUGUCUAAAAUUGCACAAAGUUUGAAUGAAGAAGGAAAUUGCCUUAAAAGGCAGGAAGGUGAGAAGUGGCAUAAGUUUAAAAUGUAGUAUAAGAAGUCAAGUCGUGAUACUAGUAGUCAUGUCAGCAGUAGAAGUAGAUUGAGAAUAAAAGAAGUAUAAGUCAAAGUAGUAAAGAAAGUAGAAAUAGGAGCAAUAGCAGUUGAAGUAGAGGGGAAAGUUCUAGUUUAAUUGACAUUAGCAGUAGUUGUCGUACUUGAGGUAGGAUUUUGUUUGAAUGAUGGAGUAAUGCAUAAAUAUUAAAACUAAUUUAAAACAGGGAAAAUUUAAAUUAUCAAAAGUCCUCAAGUAUCAGAAAGUUUUGAAGUAUUAGAAAGGUUUGAAUCAGUUUGAAUGAGUUUAAAUUAGUUUGAAAAAUUAAAUGAUAAAUCAUCACUGACUGACUUUUAAAAUGUGAAAAAUUUAAAUGAAUAACAAUCCUAAAUACACCCAAUAAUGUCCUCAAUGAGCUUAAAUUUCAAAGCCCUGAAUGGUUUCUGUAGGUCAAAGGUCAUGUGAGGAGAUAGGGGCUGAAGUUUUUUCCAACGCUCUAGGAAAGGGUUUUAAGUGUCAUCCCAAUUGCUAUGUGUACUGAGCCUGGCUUCAUGUGUCUCAUAUGGCCACUAGAAGCAGCUUUCCAGUCAGCUGUGUGUCUCCAGGUGCACAAAUUGGUUGCCAUGGGGACCUUGGAUGCAUAACUAUAGCAGGAGAAAGAAGGCUUGAAGCUAAAGAAACAGGACUCCAAGUAGGCCCUGACGCUCACCCUCUGUAUAUAUUCAUAAGGAGCUUGUGAGAACACAAGAUUUUGCUGAACACAUUAAUACAAUUUAUUAUCACAAUCCUCAAAACACCCCAUAAUAUCUUCAAUGAGCUGAAUUUUUCAAGCCCAGAAUGGUUUCUGUAGCUCAAAGUUUGUGGGUGGAGAUAGGUGGUGAAGCAGACACAUAUUAUCUGUGUGUACAAGCAGGUGAACUGCAAGGUAGACCUGACAAGGCAACAAGUACAAGAAUGUGUGUGUGUGUGUGUCUCAUUAAUGACUGCAUCCCUAACAGCUGUGAGAUCAAAGGCAAAUCACUGACCUACUGUUUGAAUGAGAAGCAGCUGAACAGCAGAGGAUUUGAAGCCUGUGAACUUCUUCACAUAGCGUGAUUUCCUUAAGUCCCAGAAUGAAAAUAAGAACAUCGUACGAAUCCUCCGUCCUUCAUGAACACAAUGAUGUGUUUUUCAUGUCUGUACUUCGAAAAAUGAGGCCACAACAGCGAGUUAAAAAAGUCUGAGCCUGAGCGAUGAUCCGGAUUUUCCUGGAGAAAAAUAACAUUAUGGUCAAUGGGAGAGAUUUCCGCCUUCCUUGGACAGUUGGUCACCUGCUGGCCAAGGGGUACGAUUUAAUGAUUUGAAACCUCUUUUGUGAGAAGCAGGACACAUAUACCUCCAUUUUGAUCUAUUAUUUAUGGCUGUGGAGUGAGAUUUGUGGGCGUGGGAGCGAUAUAUUCGAGCGAGGUUGUGUUGAUCAGAGACGAGGUCUGCACUCUAGCUGAUGACAUCAUCACUCUAGCCUCUCCAAUACACCCCUAUUAUAAAGCCUGAAAUUUGCUGAAAACCGCAAGUUGCAUAAAGCUAAAUUGUGGAAAAACUGUAAAAGAUAGCACAAAAAGGUUAAUACAAUAUCAAUAGUCGACAAGACAAUGAACAUUUUAAAGCAAAAAUUAGGUCUCUAGGUGAAAGUAUGCUGAAGUUAUAAGGCUUAGAAGGUGGACGAAUAACAGGAAGAAUUGAAAGAUUUCCCCAUUCAUUUCUAUGGGAAAAAAAGUUUGGCACAAAAAGUGAAAAAUAAUAAAAAGUAUAAAGGGUAGAAAAGAGAAAAGUAAUAGCCAUCAUGUCCUGAAGGAGUGGAAUAGUUUAAAGUUUGAACGGUUGAAAUCGGACAAAGUUUGAAGGAGGAGAAGCGGUCCAAAGAAACGUAUGGGGAGAGUGUUAAGUAUAAUACUAGAAAAAUUGCAUUUCCUUGCAGAAAAUGCGUGGAAAUGCUGAGUGCUGAAAGCUGAAAAAGCAAUGCUAAACUGCUAAUAAAACAUGGAGAAAUGUAUAAAUGUUAAAGCUGUUGAAGGGGUGUGAAAGAAAUGUAAGUUGGAUAAUUGAUUAAUUGGUUGAAGGACAAAUAGUAUGAAUAUGCUCUAUAAAAAGAAAUUUUAUUCAUGCUGAAAGAGGCUAGAAAAAUGUCUAAAAUUGCACAAAGUUUGAAUGAAGAAGGAAAUUGCCUCAAAAGGCAGGAAAGUGAGAAGUGGUAUAAGAUUAAUUUUUUAAGUAUUAGAAAGGUUUGAAUCAGUUUAAAUGAGUUCAAAUUAGUUUGAAUAAUUAAAUGAUAAAUCAUCACUGACUGACUUUUAAAAUGUGAAAAAUUUAAAUGAAUAACAAUCCUAAAUACACCCAAUAAUGUCCUCAAUGAGCUCAAAUUUUAAAGCCCUGAAUGGUUUCUGUAGGUCAAAGGUCAUGUGAGGAGAUAGGGGCUGAAGUUUUUUCAAGCGCUCUAGUAAAGGGUUUUAAGUGUCAUCCCCAGUGCUAUGUGUGCUGAGUCUGGCUUCAUGUGUCUCAUAUGGCCAUUAGAAGCAGCUUUCCAGUCAGCUGUUAGUCUCCAGGUGCACUAAUUGGUUGCCAUGGGGACCUUGGAUGCAUAACUAUAGCAGGAGAAAGAAGGCUUGAAGCUAAGGAAACAGGACUCCAAGUAGGCCCUGACGCUCAUCCUCUGUAUCUAUUCCUGAUAAGGAGCUUGUGAGAACACAAGACUCUGCUAAACACAUUAAUACAAUUUAUUAUCACAAUCCUCAAAACACCCCAUAAUAUCUUCAAUGAGCUGAAUUUUAGAAGCCCAGAAUGGUUUCUGUAGCUCAAAGUUUGUGGGUGGAGAUAGGUGGCGAAGCAGACACAUAUUAACUGUGUGUACAAGCAGCUGAACUGCAAGGUAGACCUCAUAAAGCAACAAGUACAAGAAUGUGUGUGUGUGUGUGUGUGUGUGUGUCUCGUUAAUGACUGCAUCCUAAACAGCUGUAAGAUCAAAGCCAUGAACUGACCUAUUGUUUGAAUGGAGAAGCUGCUGAACUGCAGUGAAUUUAGGGUUCUGAACUUCUUCACAUAGCACGAUUUCCUUAAGUCCCAGAAUGAAAAUAAGAACAUCGUACAAAUCCUCCGCCCUUCAUGAACACAAUGAUGUGUUUUUCAUGUCUGUACUCCGAAAAAUGUGGCUACAACAGCGAGUUAAAAAAGUCUGAGCCUGAGUGGCGAUAAGGAUUUUCUUGGAGAAAAAAUACAUUAGGGCCAAUGGGGAGAGAUUUCCGCCUAUUUGGACAGUUGGUCACCUGCUGGCCAAGGGGUAGGAUUUAAUGAUUUGAAACCUCUUUUGUGAGAAGCAGGACACAUAUACCUCCAUUUUGAUGUAUUUUUUAUGGCUGUGGAGUGAGAUUUGUGGGCGUGGGAGCGAUAUAUUCGAGCGAGGUUCUGUCGAUCAGAGACGAGGUCUGCACUCUAGCUUUUCAAAUCAUCACUCUAGCCUCUCCAAUACACCCCUAUUAUAAAGCCUGAAAUUUGCUGAAAACCACAAGUUGCAUAAAGCUAAAUUGUGGAAAAACUGUAAAAGAUAGCACAAAAAGGUUAAUACAACAUCAAUAGUCGACAAGACAAUGAACAUUUUAAAGCAAAAAUGAGGUCUCUAGGUGAAAGUAUGCUGAAGUUAUAAGGCUUAGAAGGUGCACGAAUAACAGGAAGAAUUGGAAGAUUUCCCCAUUCAUUUCUAUGGGAAAAAAGUUUGGAACAAAAAGUGAAAAAUAAUAAAAAGUACAAAGGAUAGAAAGGAAAAAAAUACAAGCACACAUGUCCUGAUGGAGUGGAAUAGUUUAAAGUUUGAACGGUUGAAAUCGGACAAAGUUUGAAGGAGGAGAAGCGGUCCAAAGAAACGUAUGGGGAGAGUGUUAAGUAUAAUACUAGAAAAAUUGCAUUUCCUUGCAGAAAAUGCGUGGAAAUGCUGAGUGCUGAAAGCUGAAAAAGCAAUGCUAAACUGCUAAUAAAACAUGGAGAAAGGUAUAAAUGUUAAAGCUGUUGAAGGGGUGAACAGAAAUAUAAGUUGGAUAAUUGAUUAAUUGGUUGAAGGACAAAUAGUAUGAAUAUGCUCUAUAAAAGGAAAUUUUAUUCAUGCUGAAAGAGGCUAGAAAAAUGUCGAAAAUUGCACAAAGUUUGAAUGAAGAAGGAAAUUGCCUUAAAAGGCAGGAAGGUGAGAAGUGGCAUAAGUUUAAAUUGUAGUACUAGAAGUAGUAUGAUAAGAAGUCAAGUUGUGAUACUAGUAGUCAUGUCAGCAGUAGAAGUAGAUUGAGAAUAAAAGAAGUAUAAGUCAAAGUAGUAAAGAAAGUAGAAAUAGGAGCAAUAGCAGUUGAAGUAGAGGGGAAAGUUCUAGUUCAAUUGACAUUAGCAGUAGUUGUCGUACUUGAGGUAGGAUUUUGUUUGAAUGAUGGAGUAAUGCAUAAAUAUUAAAACUAAUUUAAAACAGGGAAAUUUUAAAUUAUCAAAAGUCCUCAAGUAUCAGAAAGUUUUGAAGUAUUAGAAAGGUUUGAAUCAGUUUGAAUGAGUUUAAAUUAGUUUGAAAAAUUAAAUGAUAAAUCAUCACUGACUGACUUUUAAAAUGUGAAAAAUUUAAAUGAAUAACAAUCCUAAAUACACCCAAUAAUGUCCUCAAUGAGCUUAAAUUUCAAAGCCCUGAAUGGUUUCUGUAGGUCAAAGGUCAUGUGAGGAGAUAGGGGCUGAAGUUUUUUCCAACGCUCUAGGAAAGGGUUUUAAGUGUCAUCCCAAUUGCUAUGUGUACUGAGCCUGGCUUCAUGUGUCUCAUAUGGCCACUAGAAGCAGCUUUCCAGUCAGCUGUGUGUCUCCAGGUGCACAAAUUGGUUGCCAUGGGGACCUUGGAUGCAUAACUAUAGCAGGAGAAAGAAGGCUUGAAGCUAAAGAAACAGGACUCCAAGUAGGCCCUGACGCUCACCCUCUGUAUAUAUUCAUAAGGAGCUUGUGAGAACACAAGACUCUGCUGAACACAUUAAUACAAUUUAUUAUCACAAUCCUCAAAACACCCCAUAAUAUCUUCAAUGAGCUGAAUUUUUGAAGCCCAGAAUGGUUUCUGUAGCUCAAAGUUUGUGGGUGGAGAUAGGUGGUGAAGCAGACACAUAUUAACUGUGUGUACAAGCAGCUGAACUGCAAGGUGGACCUCAAAAAGCAACAAGUACAAGAAGGUGUGUGUGCGUGUGUGUGUGUGUGUGUGUGUCUCGUUAAUGACUGCAUCCUAAACAGCUGUGAGAUCAAAGGCAAAUCACUAACCUACUGUUUGACUGAGAGGUGCUGAACUGCAGUGAAUUUCAGCCUGUGAACUUCUUCACAUAGCGUGAUUUCCUUAAGUCCCAGAAUGAAAAUAAGAACAUCGUACGAAUCCUCCGUCCUUCAUGAACACAAUGAUGUGUUUUUCAUGUCUGUACUUCGAAAAAUGAGGCCACAACAGCGAGUUAAAAAAGUCUGAGCUUGAGCGAUGAUCCGGAUUUUCUUGGAGAAAAAUAACAUUACAGUCAAUGGGAGAGAUUUCCGCCUUUUUUGGACAGUUGGUCACCUGCUGGCCAAGGGGUAGGAUUUAAUGAUUUGAAACCUCUUUUGUGAGAAGCAGGACACAUAUACCUCCAUUUUGAUGUAUUAU